AUGACACUGUAUUCCCUACGGACAUUUAUUUUUUGGAAACAAGUGUUAGAAUAUUGGGUGCUGGUACAUAUGCACAAUAACUUAAGUAUGUCCCUAGGAACACUAAAUGAUCAGCAAUCGUACAAAGGGCUUCCAUUCCACAUCCAUGGCCACUGCUGGGAGUCGAUUGGUGGUGUUCAUGUUCUGAAAUGCUACUUUUAUAGAUUAGGUAAGUGUAUUCCUCAUUUUGUGCUCUUGUGUGUGCACAGUGCAGAUAUGAAUUCUGCCUGUAUUCAAUUUUAUAAAUUAAUUGAACAUUCUAAUAAUUGA
rnacentral:rRNA from 1 species